UCUAAUUGUUUCAUCCUGUCAGAGAGGUUAGACAUAGAUAUCAGCCUCUAGACAGUGUAAUUCAACAAGUAAAAAAAUCUGUAGUUCACUUAGCGAGAUAGUGGAGGAUAGCGAGAUCGAGGCGUCGUGUCAACUAGGUCACGCACAGCUCGGGACAGACGGCUGUGUAAAUAAACCCUACUGAAUGGUUCAUAGCCUUACACUUAUGCUUAUAAAGCCAGGUGGUUGUUGUUAGAAAUGUAAAACCUAGCCUAAAGAUAGUGAGAAUGGUUAUAUAUUGAGAUCAUGUGUAGGAAGGAAAAGAGUGGCUCGUGUCAAUGGCUUUCUCCAAGGUUUAUACAUGUACAACCGCUCAACUACUGCGGGUGAAAAGGGGACACUGUUUGAAAUACUCGUUAGGUCUCAUGCUGGCUUACAGAUCGACCGGUUUACACAUAGCGUUGACUGGCGUUGGCGGGUUAUUCAAACUGCUGUCAGCACGGUGUAAGAAUCGCAAGGGACCUCUCUCUACACAUACUGCAGUGAGAAAGAAACAGUUUGAAAGAAUGUCAGAAAAACAAAAGUUUCUGGACAGUGUGGAUUAUUUGUCUGAUUUAGAGAAAUGGGCUGCAGAGAAUGGAAUGAUAAGUGAUGCUGAUGUGAACUUAAAACGUAUUGAACUGCUUGCAAAUAACAUUAGCCAUAGGGAAAAUGUGACACCCUCUCAAGCACAGCACACUUGUCAUACAUGCACGAAGACAUUCACGCAGAAGAGAAAUCUUCUCCGCCAUGUUAGGACAGUGCGCAGCAAUGAGAGAUAUUGCUGUGAGCAAUGUGGAAAAUGUUAUUCCCGCCUGGAUGCACUUGAAACUCACAAAUGUGAAACUACUCUGAAGAGGUAGGGAAGUGAAACAGCUGCAGAAACCUUGGCGAAUCGUCCCUGUCUGCAGCCUAAGAAUGACAGCAACAUUCCAGCCGGAUAUGCUAUCUGUAAUUGGUGUGGCCAUUAUAAAUGCUUACUCCCAAACAAGCUAUUCUGCAUGAGUUGUUCGCGCUCAGGUCGCGAGUGCAUGAGUUGUCACCAUCCUCUCCCUGAGCGCUUCUACAGUGAGCGUGUGGACCACUGUGACGGCUGUGUGAGACGUCGUCAACGUUAUGAAGCAGGGCAGGGCAACCAGACUGGUGGAGGUCAAAGGUCAGCACUAGAAAGCUCACUGAUGACAACAAUCACCCCCUAGGGAAGCUAAUAAUGUGGAUAUUCUACAAUUUCUAGCGGAUGAAGAGACAAAUAUUGUUGAUAUCUUUCAUGAUUUUACGUCAGAAAAGAAAGGUAUGAAGUGGUUUCUCACUCUAAAGUUGAAAUAUAUCAGUAUGACGAAAAUAUCCAACGUCAUUUAGCUGAACCUGUUCUGAGAAGUACCAAAUUUAGGUGAGUAACCUAUCAGAAAUUAAUGAGAAGUCAGCUGAAGCCUUCCAAAAACUGUACACAUCUUCUCAAGAGUUUCAAGCCAAGGGCAGUAGGUGGAUCUUAGACCACAUCAUUCAUCUUGAAGUGAAUACAGCUGAAUAUGUCCCUUUGUCAGCAUCCAGUUACAUUCCUUUACCAAAAUACUUGAAGGAUAUAAAAAAGCUAUUUUGAAUAUCCAAAACAAUGAUCAUAAAUGUUUUGUCUGGUCGAUUCUUGCGGCUUUGCCAUUGAAUGAGCAUGCCAUAAGAGUGUCAAAAUAUGCAGGAUAAGAAUCAGAAUUGAGUAUGUGUGGGAUUGAUAUGCUUCUCCCUCUUUCUCAAAUUUCCAAAUUUGAAAACCAAAAUUAUAUUUCUGUCAAUGUUUAUGGCUAUGGUGGGAAAGAUGGAGUAUUUCCACUUCAUGUCAGUAAGCACAGGCGUUAUAAGACAGUAGAUUUAUUACUACUGAGACAGGAAGAAAAAGGCAUUUCUCUUUGAUUCAAAACUUUAGCAGACUGGUGGGAGAACGAACAAAUCAUGAUGGAGCUGCUUUCUAUUGCAAACACUGUCUUCAUGGAUUCACCCAAAGGGAUCUGUUAGAGAGUCAUGCCCCCUAUUGCUAUGAUCAUAACAUACAGAAAAUAAAAAUGCCUGGGGGUGAAAAAGCAUGGGUAACUUUCAAAAACAUUCAGAAUCAGCUCCGAGUGCCUUUUGUCAUUUAUGCUGAUUUUGAAUCUAUGACCAAACAAGUGACUCGGUCUAUCAAAAACAUGAACCCUCUGGCUUCUGUUACAAAGUAGUUUCUACUAAUCCAGACUAUCAUCAACCUGCAGUGGUGUAUAGGGGUCCUAAUGUCAUAGCUCAUUUCAUUGAUUGUUUGUUGAAUGAGGAAAAAGCAAUUCAAGAAAAGUUGAAAGAAACCUUUCCCAUCGAUAUGACAGAGGCUGAUGAGGUAGCAUUUCAGGAACCUGUCACAUGUCAUAUCUGUCAGCAAGCAUUGGAUGUAAAGUCGAUAAAAGUCGGGGAUCAUGACCAUUUGAAGAAAGUCAAUAAUUUUCGGGCUGCUGCUCAUCAAAACUGCAAUCUUCAGUUGAAGUUCAAAAAAAGUAUAAGACGUCAAGAGAAAAAGAAUAAAGGAAAGAAAGGGAGUGAAGACGAGCCAUUCUUCAUGCCUAUAAUCUUCAAUAACUUGAAGAAUUUUGAUAGUCAUAUCUUGUUAAAACAUUUAGACAAAAGCUACAGAGGAAGACUGGAGUGCAUUGCGCAAAAUUUGAAGAAAUAUAUUUCUUUCUCACUGGGUAGAUUAAGAUUUAUUGUCUCACUCUCUAAAUUCUUCAGAUAUCCCUGGACACGUUGGUUAGCAAUAUGGUAAAAGACUGUUCUAAUGAGAUUAAAAAUAGGAAGGUUAUAAACUUGGAUAAAUGUGCCACUAAAUUCAAACAUGUAUUCUGGGAAUAUGGCCAUGAUGAACAAAGGAAAUUAAUCUUGCGAAAGGGGGGUUUAUCCAUAUGACUACAUGAAUGAUGAAUCCAAAUUUAGACUGAAUCAUCUCCCAAAACAGGAGGACUUUUACAAUAGGUUGACCGAGAGUUCUAUUUCUGAUGAGGAUUAUGCUCUUGCCCAACAAGUUUGGUCAACUUUUCAAAUACAAAACUUGGGGGAGUACCAUGAUU